GUUCAGGUAGAGAUCGAGAGCGGUGCAUCACGGCCAUGGCAAGUAAGGGUUUUUUGUUGCUACUAUUGGUCUCCGCUAUGGUUUCAGCGAGCAUGGCUGCUCCGGACAAAGGUCAUGUCUGUUUGGGGGCCCACCACCCAUGUAAUCGUCUGCGCCAACGGCCAGGCCAACCUACAAGAUGCUGCAGUGGACAUUGUGAUUGCCUCGAUCUCGGGCGUAGUUGCUUAUGUAAGUAGCAUGUACAACUAUAAAGCUGGACACAACGACUGAAGAUGAAAAAAGGACAAGAACACGGCCGUCAGCUUGAGCAAGAGUUUUCAUAGCCCUCAGAAUUUGAUUUGUCAUACUGGGACUUUA